UCCCUGAAAAAAAAAAACAAAAAAAACUGCGAAAGCUCCUGUCCGGUCUCGCCGCCGGCCGGAUGCUUGGUCUUCCGGCCGGCGGGUUUGGCCCACCGCGGUUCCAGUGCGCUCCAGGGACCGAGAUCUGCCAGUUCUGCGCCCUCCUCUCCCGCGUCGAUUCGUGGCAUCAGGAGCAUCAGCAGGGCCAGCCGAAGGAGGGCCUGCCCCCGCCACCGGCGAAGCUCCGGGCAGCUACGAGGAAGCGCUGCGGCCAGAUCCGUACCGCAGAAGGAUAUUGCCGAGGUCGACGACGGUGCUAGCGCGCUGAGCUGCGAAUGGUGCUGUGUCUACAUUCGUUGACAAUGCUGAUGUGGAGAGCGGGAAUCCUGGGAGCACGGAUGUAGUAGCGGCGGAGAAGGUGGAUGAGUAUGUAGAUAUUGAGGAGGAGAUGCCAACCUCAACUUACCAAUCAGUGGAGAUCGAGAAGGGUGCCAAGGCCAUGAGUGUCUCUGGUGGUUCGGGUAGUGGUUCUUCAUCAUCCAAUGGUUCAGGGUCAGGGAGCUCAGUGGACAGCACCUCAGAAGCUGGCAAUGCUCGUUCUCUGGUGUAGAGGAGGUUGUUCUAACAGUAGGAUUUGAGUAGGUGGAUGAUGUGAUUACUUGUUUCUGGGAUGUGCAUGUCGGCUUGGAUUUAGUUAACCUUGUUUCUAGUGGAUGGCUGGCUUUGUGGGUAAUCUCAUAGCUCAGCUCGACUAUGUCUAUAUAAGUGAAAAGUGGUGGUAGUUCAUCUGGCCUUCUGAUCUGAAUGUGGCUUUUGUAUUGAUGUGUUUUGUCUAGCACAUCUAUUCUGUAUGUGAUUUUAUAUAUGCUUAUGGUUAUGCGCGACGUAACUAUGGCAUCGGAGUAAGGAAAUAUUGAAAUCA